rnacentral:rRNA from 1 species
CGGUCCUACGGGACGCAGCAGUGGGGGAUAUUGCACAAUGGGGGGAACCCUGAUGCAGCGACGCCGCGUGGGUGAAGGAGCGUUUCGGCGCGUAACGCCCUAUCGGCAGGGAAGAAGAUGACGGUACCUGACCAAGAAGCCCCGGCUAACUACGUUCCAGCAGCCGCGGUAAUACGUAGGGAGCAAGCGUUGUCCGGAAUUACUGGGUGUGAAGGGAGCGUAGGGGGGGUGGCA